AAAUGCGAUAAGUAGUGUGAAUUGCAGAAUUCAGUGAAUCAUCGAAUCUUUGAACGCACAUUGCGCCUCUUGGUAUUCCAUGGGGCAUGCCUGUUCGAGCGUCAUUUGUACCCUCAAGCUCUGCUUGGUGUUGGGUGUUUGUCCCCGUCUCCGCGCGUGGACUCGCCCCAAAGUGAUUGGCAGCCGGCGUACUGGUCCCGGAGCGCAGCACAUGUCGCGCAAACGAGUGCCUUGGUACGGCGGCGUCCAUAAGCCCCUCUCUCACGCUCUUGACCUCGGAUCAGGUAGGGAUACCCGCUGAACUUAAGC
rnacentral:misc_RNA from 1 species